AUUGAACGCUGGCGGCAGGCUUAACAUAUGCAAGUCGAGCGGAGAGAGGUAGCUUGCUACUGAUCUUAGCGGCGGACGGGUGAGUAAUGCUUAGGAAUCUGCCUAUUAGUGGGGGACAACAUUUCGAAAGGAAUGCUAAUACCGCAUACGUCCUACGGGAGAAAGCAGGGGAUCUUCGGACCUUGCGCUAAUAGAUGAGCCUAAGUCGGAUUAGCUAGUUGGUGGGGUAAAGGCCUACCAAGGCGACGAUCUGUAGCGGGUCGGAGAGGAUGAUCCGCCACACUGGGACUGGGGCACGGGCCAGACUCCAUCGGGUGGCAGCAGUGGGGAAUAUUGGACAAGGGGCGGAAGCCUGAUCCAGCCAUGCCGCGUGUGUGAAGAAGGCCUUAUGGUUGUAAAGCACUUUAAGCGAGGAGGAGGCUACUUUAGUUAAUACCUAGAGAUAGUGGACGUUACUCGCAGAAUAAGCACCGGCUAACUCUGUGCCAGCCGCCGCCGUAA
rnacentral:rRNA from 1 species